AUUGAACGCUGGCGGCAGGCCUAACACAUGCAAGUCGAGCGGAUGAAGGGAGCUUGCUCCUGGAUUCAGCGGCGGACGGGUGAGUAAUGCCUAGGAAUCUGCCUGGUAGUGGGGGAUAACGUCCGGAAACGGGCGCUAAUACCGCAUACGUCCUGAGGGAGAAAGUGGGGGAUCUUCGGACCUCACGCUAUCAGAUGAGCCUAGGUCGGAUUAGCUAGUUGGUGGGGUAAAGGCCUACCAAGGCGACGAUCCGUAACUGGUCUGAGAGGAUGAUCAGUCACACUGGAACUGAGACACGGUCCAGACUCCUACGGGAGGCAGCAGUGGGGAAUAUUGGACGAUGGGCGAAAGCCUUAUCCAGCCAUGUCGCGUGUGUGAAGAAGGUCUUCGGAUUGUAAAGCACUUUAAGUUGGGAGGAAGGGCAGUAAGUUAAUACCUUGCUGUUUUGACGUUACCAACAGAAUAAGCACCGGCUAACUUCGUG
rnacentral:rRNA from 1 species